rnacentral:lncRNA from 1 species
CUCAGAGAUAGCUGAGAGCAUUAGAUUAGUGACUGCAGUGAUAGCUAGGGAAUUUUAAUUUGUAUAAUUUAUUCAGUCAUUAAUAAGGAGGACUAGGGUUUUAUGUAGAACUCAGUUUUAUAUCAGUAUGUGUUACAGGCAACUCAGUGAGGAAAAACUUCAGACUGAAUUUUAUUAAGUAAAACGGAUGUGAUAUAAUGCCAGAGGAAGAAACAGAGGAAAUGUGAAAAAGAGCAUUUGAAGAAAGCAGAAAAAUAAGUUGCUUUUGCCUGCCCUGGAGGCAUGAUUGAGGGGAAAACAUCAGGGUGAAGGAGCCGCCCCCUGCAGGUGGAGGAUGAGGCAAGGUUAAAACACAGCCCGAGCUGCAAGUCACCCACCAGCUGCACAAGGCAGGGGACAGAGACCCGGGCUGGAGCUGAAAGGGAGAGCGAGCCGUGGGGGAUGUGGCAGGAGAGAGGCACCAGCGCAAGGCUGAAGUGCCAGCUGAGGAGGUCCCCGUCUGUCCUGGCGCCUUCCUAAACUCCCUGUCCAACACUCCCAAGCAUGGCAUCAGCUAUAAUAGCGGCUACCACUGAGGGCAGGAGGACUGUCAUCAGCACAACAGAACUCAUAACCAGAUUUUAAACCACAUUUUUCCUCCCAUAUUAAUUAAUUUUUGGGCUUCUGAAGAAAAAUAACAGGAAUAAUGUUAAAAAUGGUUUACAAUACUUAAACAUUGCAGUUGGAUGUACAGUAGGUGUGCAGAAAUACUAGUGGACAAAAUCGGAUCUGAAGGCAAAAAUGCUAAGGAAAUUCAUGAAAAUAUCUUGAAGAGAAAUAGCAAGGAAGCAUUUCAGAACAAAGAAGAAUGA